rnacentral:tRNA from 1 species
GCGCCUAUAGCUCAAAGGAUAGAGCAGCUGCCUUCUAAGCAGCGGGUUGGGGGUUCGAGUCCCUCUAGGCGCGCCA